UCCAGCGAGAUGAUGAGAAAAUUCUAAGACGAACGCGUGGCCGCUGACGGCUUGUCAAUUGGAGCUCUGGAUUGAAAGUUAUGGCGAAUAGAAAACGGAGCAAAGGUUUGGCUUUGGCUUCUUCUC